rnacentral:tRNA from 1 species
GCUAUCGUAGUUUAUACAAAAUAGUAGUCUUGUAAACUAAAGCAGGUUUACCCGAUAGCUC